rnacentral:rRNA from 1 species
AUUGAACGCUGGCGGCAGGCUUAACACAUGCAAGUCGAGCGGGGGAAGGUAGCUUGCUACCGGACCUAGCGGCGGACGGGUGAGUAAUGCUUAGGAAUCUGCCUAUUAGUGGGGGACAACAUCUCGAAAGGGAUGCUAAUACCGCAUACGUCCUACGGGAGAAAGCAGGGGAUCUUCGGACCUUGCGCUAAUAGAUGAGCCUAAGUCGGAUUAGCUAGUUGGUGGGGUGAAGGCCUACCAAGGCGACGAUCUGUAGCGGGUCGGAGAGGAUGAUCCGCCACACUGGGACUGAAACACGGCCCAGACUCCUACGGGAGGCAGCAGGGGAGAAUAUUGGACAAUGGGGGGAACCCGGAUCCAGCCAUGCCGCGUGUGUGAAGAAGGCCUUAUGGUUGUAAAGCACUUUAAGCGAGGAGGAGGCUACUUUAGUUAAUACCUAGAGAUAGUGGACGUUACUCGCAGAAUAAGCACCGGCUAACUCUGUGCCAGCCGCCGCCGUAA